GAAGGGAUCAUUAGCGGAAGUACGCUACAAGUACUUAUCAUCAUCAUCAUCAAACUGAAACAAAAGAUUUGUUAAAGUAUUGAAGCACAAAAUUUUUUUUUUUAAAAAUCAAAAACCUUUUAAACAACAACAACAAUGAAAAAAAUAUACACACAGUUUUAACGUUGGAUACCUUGGCUUUCUCAACGAUGAAGAGCGUAGCAAAUUGCGAUAAUUAAUGUGAAUUGCAUGAACAAGCGAAUCAUCGAGAUCUUGAACGCAUACUGCACUUUCAAGAAUGGAUUUCUUUCGGGAAAUUGGCUUGAAAGUAUAAAUGAAAGAGAGAGGCACAUUACUGCAAAAAUCAAAAAAACGAAACGAAAAACAGAGGCGUUGUCGUCUCUGGUUUUCGGUUUUUCGUUUUUUUUUUUUUGGAAAUUGAAAAGAAUCAUCAUCGCACACGGCGAUGUGGGGUGUGGAUUCUUUUUGAAAUGAAUGAAAAUUGAAUUUUCGUUUUUCCUCUCGUUUUGAGAAGUAUUUGUUGAAACAAAGACAUACUAUUUCUCUCUCGUGAAGAGGAAUCUCUGAAAAAAAAAAAAAAAUUCUUCAAUCCUACUGUUACAGUAACACACUCUCCCAGUACUCCUCUUUUCAUUUAAGAGUACCCGCUGAACUUAAGCAUAUCAAUAAGCGGAGGAAAAGAAAACAACCGUGAUUUCCUUAGUAAUGGCGAAUGAAUCGGAAACUAAGCUCAUUCUUGAAAUCCUUUGUGCGGUCGCAAGACUCACGGGAAUUGUAGUAUUUGAAGGCGAAGACAUUUUGCGCGGUCGCGAGCGCACGGAUUCUAAAUUUUUGAGUGGAAACUCAUGCCAUAGAGAGUGAAAGCCUCGUGAAUGUUUUUUCGGAUCCGUUUCAGAGCGCUCGGGAUCGUUUGCUUUGCCUUUCCGAGUCGGGUUGCUUGGGAUCGCAGCCUUAAGAGUGGUGGUAAAUUUCAUCAAAAGCUAAAUAUCAGGAGAAAGACCGAUAGCGAAGUCAAGUAGUGCGAACGAAAGGUGAAAAGAACUUUGAAAAGAGAGUUAAAUAAGGGCUUGAAAACGUUAAAAUGGAAGCGAUCAAGACAACUUUGGCGGAGCUAACUGAUGGGUGGAGUGGAAUAUUCAGCGAGGCGAUUGGGAGAAAGGCGCGCCGCGGUUCAGCAAGGAGUCUUGCAACUCUGGAUGGAAUGCGGUCCUAAGAACUCGGUCCCUUGUGCACUUGUUUCAUUCUUUAACCCGAUUAGAAUGGAUUGCAAACACAUGAAACGACGUCGACAAAGAAAGCUAUUCCGUGUGAAUAGGAUUUUUGUGGACUGUUCCGAUGUGAGAUUUGCGAUCGAGGAAACGCGAGAGCGAUAUAGUGAAUACAAUGUCGGAGAUCGGAGUGUCGGUGUCGUGGUCGAGAUGGUCCCGGAGACCUAUCACCUCCCCAUCGUUGGCGAUUGCUUCAUCGAUAUUGUCGGUCUGCGAGAUUGCUGACUCGCUCGAGAUUCUAACGAGAGAGGCGACUCUCUCUUUUCCGCCCUUGAUCGACCCGUCUUGAAACACGGACCAAGGAGUCUAACAAGUUUGCGAGUAUACAAAGUGAAAAACUUUAACAACAUAGGAAAUUGCGAAAUGAAAGUGAAAGUGUCACACAAAAGGAGGGAAGCUCAGGAGCGAGACCGCCAUAUCUCGUUUCGCAACGCCGCACCUCCAUUGGGUUUUUGCAGACCGCCGGCCUGCGCACGCUCAAUUUUAGCAUACUUGUUUGAACCCGAAAGAUCGCGAACUAUGCCAGCACAGGUUGAAGCCAGAAGAAAUUCUGGUGGAGGAUCGUAGCGGUACUGACGUGCAAAUCGUUUCGUCCAAGGUUGGUAUAGCGGCGAAAGACUAAUCGAGCGGUCUAGUAGCUGGUUUCAUC
rnacentral:misc_RNA from 1 species